GAUGAACGCUGGCGGCGCGCCUAACACAUGCAAGUCGAACGAUUAAAGCACCUUCGGGUGUGUAUAAAGUGGCGAACGGCUGAGUAACACGUGGGCAACCUGCCCCUUUCAUUGGGAUAGCCACGGGAAACCGUGGAUAAUACCGAAUACUUCGAGACUUCCGCAUGGAAGACUCGAGAAAGCUCCGGCGGAGAGGGAUGGGCCCGCGGCCUGUUAGCUUGUUGGUGGGGUAACGGCCUACCAAGGCAAUAAUGGGUAGCUGGGUUGAGAGACCGACCAGCCAGAUUGGGACUGAGACACGGCCCAGACUCCUACGGGAGGCAGCAGUGGGGAAUCUUGCACAAUGGGCGAAAGCCUGAUGCAGCGACGCCGCGUGCGGGAUGAAGGCCUUCGGGUUGUAAACCGCUUUCAGCAGGGACGAGGCGAAAGUGGCGGUACCUGCAGAAGAAGCCCCGGCUAACUACGUG
rnacentral:rRNA from 1 species